rnacentral:rRNA from 1 species
UACGUAGGGGGCAAGCGUUGUCCGGAUUUAUUGGGCGUAAAGAGCGUGUAGGCGGCCAGGUAGGUCAGCUGUGAAAACUCGAGGCUCAACCUCGAGACGUCGGUUGAAACCACCUGGCUAGAGUCCGGAAGAGGAGAGUGGAAUUCCUGGUGUAGCGGUGAAAUGCGCAGAUAUCAGGAGGAACACCGAUGGCGAAGGCAGGUCUCUGGGCCACUACUGACGCUGAGGCGCGAAAGCGUGGGGAGCAAACGGG